rnacentral:rRNA from 1 species
UACGUAGGGCGCAAGCGUUGUCCGGAAUUAUUGGGCGUAAAGAGCUCGUAGGUGGCUUGUUGCGUCUGCCGUGAAAGCCCGUGGCUUAACUGCGGGUCUGCGGUGGAUACGGGCAGGCUAGAGGCUGGUAGGGGCAAGCGGAAUUCCUGGUGUAGCGGUGAAAUGCGUAGAUAUCUGGAGGAACACCGGUGGCGAAGGCGGCAUCCUGGACCAACACUGACACUGAGGAGCGAAAGCCAGGGGAGCAAACGGG